AGUGGAUGGGGAGCAACCUAGUUGUGCGUGUGUAAAGGUAGUGCCAAGAAAAGCGAUGAUCAUGUUGAAAAUCAAUUCCCGGUACCCGAAACCGACACAGGUGGGCAAGUAGAGAAUACUAAGGGGCGCGAGGUAACUCUCUCCAAGGAACUCGGCAAAAUGACCCCGUAACUUAGGGAGAAGGGGUGCCACCGAGAGGUGGUCGCAGUGAAGAGGCCCAGGCGACUGUUUAGCAAAAACAUAGGUCUCUGCAAACUCGAAAGAGGAGGUAUAGGGGCUGACGCCUGCCCAGUGCCGGAAGGUUAAAGAAGUUGGUCAGUUUUAGGAUGAAGCUAGCGACUGAAGCCCCGGUGAACGGCGGCCGUAACUAUAACGGUCCUAAGGUAGCGAAAUUCCUUGUCGGGUAAGUUCCGACCCGCACGAAAGGCGUAACGAUCUGGGCGCUGUCUCGGAGAGAGGCUCGGCGAAAUAGGAUUGUCUGUGAAGAUACGGACUACCUGCAUUUGGACAGAAAGACCCUAUGAAGCUUUACUAUAGCUUGGAAUUGUGUUCGGGCUUCCUGUGCGCAGGAUAGGUGGGAGGCGUAGAAGGUAUUCUUGUGGGGAUACUGGAGCCAACGGUGAGAUACCACUCUCAGGAGGCUAGAAUUCUAACUUAAUUAAGGACAGUUUCAGGUGGGUAGUUUGACUGGGGCGGUCGCCUCCAAAAAGGUAACGGAGGCGUACAAAGGUUCCCUCAGACUGGUUGGAAAUCAGUCGAAGAGUGCAAAGGCAGAAGGGAGCUUGACUGCGAGAAGUACAGUUCGAGCAGGGUGGAAACACGGUCUUAGUGAUCCGACGGUGCUGUGUGGAAGGGCCGUCGCUCAACGGAUAAAAGUUACUCUAGGAUAACAGGCUGAUCUCCCCCAAGAGUUCACAUCGACGGGGAGGUUUGGCACCUCGAUGUCGGCUCAUCGCAACCUGGGGCGGAAGUACGUCCCAAGGGUUGGGCUGUUCGCCCAUUAAAGCGGUACGUGAGCUGGGUUCAGAACGUCGUGAGACAGUUCGGUCCAUAUCCGAUGUAGGCGUGAGAAUAUUGAGAGGAGCCUUCCUUGGUACGAGAGGACCGGGAAGGACGCACCGCUGGUGUACCUGUUAUGAUGCCAAUUGUAAACGCAGGGUAGCCAAGUGCGGAGAGGAUAACCGCUGAAAGCAUCUAAGUGGGAAGCCCACCUCAAGAUGAGUAUUCUGGUGUAAGGUCACGGGAAGACGACCCGUAAAUAGGCACGAGGUGGAAGUGCAGAGAUGUAUGAAGCCGAAGUGUACUAAUAGACCGUCGGCUU
rnacentral:rRNA from 1 species